CACGUCUCAAAAGAUGUUUUUAGACUUGCGUACGAGUGACAGGCUUCGUACAAACAGUUUCCCUCUCCCGCCCGUGCGCCGUAUCGACUUCCCAAACGAAAGGGCGUUGCGUUUACUGCACAUCAAACGGAGCAGAAAAUUAGGUUGCGGCGCCGACGUUCAAACCUUGGCGCUCACUUCGAGGGGCUGAAAUUCAGAGCGAUCGCUAUCUGCGCUGCAGGAGACGCCGCCGCUGCUCGGUAUCAGCGCUCCCCAUCGAACAAACAUCCUCUGGAGAUUAGGAGGCGCUCGACGUCGCCGCCGGCGGAGUGUAAUGAAAGCCAUGAACGCAGCACGAGAAAACUGCGUGCGCAAUCCCUCGUGCCUUCUGCAGCAAGCACGACCGGUAGCUCCUCUAGGAGCGCAUCGCGGCCACGUGCCUGCACGGCUGCAGGCAAUCGUCAAUCAGCGCACGUGGUAUGAUGAGGACAGACGGCAUAAAGACCAGUGGACUCGAAGAUCCAGUGCCAAAACAUAGUUCACUCUACGUAUAUUCCCUCCGUCUCCAUUGAUCGAGAUGUGCGCCUCGCUUCUCUGGACUUCUCGCCGGAAAUUGGACUGCUUCUCAUGAUCCUCGACCCCCGCUCAGACACGGACCUCGACGCUUCUCUCUAGCCCCCGACCUCUCGCUUGCCUACGGACUGUCUUCUUGCCUUUCCCCUCUGGACUUAUGAACGAUUCAUCCAACACGCACGAAAUACACCCUCUGGUGACAUCC